UAAUCAUGCUAAGGGCAUCUUCUAAGUAGAUCUUUGAAUCUCUCCCAAGCUUCAUAGAAUGGUUUGAAGUCUACUUGACUGAACUAAACAAUCUCACUCUUCAAUUG
rnacentral:snoRNA from 1 species